UGUGUGGUUUCGGGACACUUCUUUCUUGUGAGGGCAUGCAAGUUGAAAUAUUAAUGAUUUUUAAAAUUCUUAAUUGAGUCAAGUGAGCUAAUGAGUUGAGUCAUUUCUUGAGUUUGAGUUGUUGUCACUUAAAUGAUUCUUGAUUUUUUAUAAUGUUUCAUGUGAAUGAGAGGAUUUCUUUUGUGGAAAGUUUUCAUGUGGACUAUUUGUUCUUACCAACCGAAGCCAUUACCUUUGUGCUUAAUUGAGAAAUGGAAAUUGAUUUGUGGUGUAUCUUGAAAUAGGAAUCUCUUAUGUUUUUUGACUUUCUUGACUUGAUGAAAAACAAACUUUCUAAGUUGGGGUGUUGAUUUGUGGUAGAUUUCUACUCAUUUGAGUCUUUUUUUCGUAGUUAUUUUGGCUUUUAGUUUAUAAUUGUUGCUUUUUGAUGUGAUUUUGCACGAAAAUGAAAUGGAGAGUUCGUACAAAAUGUUGAACAUGCAAGGUUAGCACCAUUUGAUUGUUGGCUUUGUUUUAGAGGAACCAAAACAAUGGAAGAAAAUGCUUCUACCGUCUUCAAUGUUUCACGUGCCGGAGUUUGUGGAUGCUAUUUGGGUUGCUCUGUGUAUCCAAUGUUGGCUGUUCGGGAGAAGGUUGUUUAGACAUUGCGUGCCUGCCUUCUUGUUAUUGAAAAGCGUCAGGCACGACGGCGUGUUCAGUGGUAUUAUCAAAUGUUUGAGGCUACCCAAGAUGGAUCGCGGAGAAUCACUCCUGUUCAUAGUAUAAUUGGAUCUCUUCUCGCAGUCGGGGAGCCGCUAAGGAAGUAAAAAGGAGAUUGAAAUAGAAAGAAUGCAGAAUGCUGCACUUUACUUUUGGGCACAUUUAUUUUUAUUUGGAUUUGUGUGGAAGAAGAUCAGCAGAUAUACUCCUAAGUCUUUUUUCUGUUUCAGCCUUAGAAGGAUGGGUCUGCAUUGGCUUUGAGGCAUCUUGUAGAGGUAGAAGCUCGGGAUCUUAGUGGAGAAGG